UGGAAGAAAUAAAGCCACAUAAUUCAGUUGCAUGAUUCCGCCAUCUUUAUUUGGCACACACAUAGUAAAACUGAAGCUGUGCAUACAUAGUUAUUCAACAGAUGGGUGACAAAUUAUGCAUUUUGUUGGCUUGGUUUGGCUCUAGCUGAUCUAACCUUAUGAUGAAACAUUUCUAUCCUGAUGGGAGUGGUAUCUGCUAGGAUGAUAAUGCCCCAUCCACAAGAGGUUUACACCACACAUCUGCUGUGAAUUUGGGGCUGUCUACAGAGAAAAGGUAACUCAGUACCUGCUCAUUUUCUCUGACCCUGCCUUCUUUCUUCUGCUGAUGCUCGAUUACACCCCCGCUGUUACAUCCACCAAGCAGAGACAUGUGAAGACAGGUAAGCUUUCU